rnacentral:rRNA from 1 species
AACGCGAAGAACCUUACCAACUUUUGACAUGUCCCGUAUGGAUCUCAGAGAUGAGAUCCUUCAGUUCGGCUGGCGGGAACACAGGUGCUGCAUGGCUGUCGUCAGCUCGUGUCGUGAGAUGUUGGGUUAAGUCCCGCAACGAGCGCAACCCUCGCCCUUAGUUGCCAUCAUUUAGUUGGGCACUCUAAGGGGACUGCCGGUGAUAAGCCGGAGGAAGGUGGGGAUGACGUCAAGUCCUCAUGGCCCUUACAGGUUGGGCUACACACGUGCUACAAUGGCGGUGACAGAGGGACGCAAAAGGGCAACCUUUCGCAAAUCUCGAAAAACCGUCUCAGUUCGGAUUGGGGUCUGCAACUCGACCCCAUGAAGUUGGAAUCGCUAGUAAUCGUGGAUCAGCACGCCACGGUGAAUACGUUCCCGGGCCUUGUA